rnacentral:lncRNA from 10 species
GUGUCUUUUGGCUGUGUAAAUGUCUUCUUUUGAGAAGUGUCUGUUCAUAUCCUUCGCCCACUUGUUGAUGGGGUUGUUUGUUUUUUUCUUGUAAAUUUGUUUGAGUUCAUUGUAGAUUCUGGAUAUUAGCCCUUUGUCAGAUGAGUAGAUGCAAAAAUUUUCUCCCAUUCUGUAGGUUGCCUGUUCACUCUGAUGGUAGUUUCUUUUGCUGUGCAGAAGCUCUUUAGUUUAAUUAGAUCCCAUUUGUCAAUUUUGGCAUUUGUUGCCAUUGCUUUUGGUGUUUUAGACAUGAAGUCCUUGCCCAUGCCUAUGUCCUGAAUGGUGUUGCCUAGGUUUUCUUCUAGGGUUUUUAUGGUUUUAGGUCUAACAUUUAAGAGGAUACAAACAAAUGGAAGAACAUUCCAUGCUCAUGGGUAGGAAGAAUCAAUAUCGUGAAAAUGGCCAUACUGCCCAAGGUAAUUUAUAGAUUCAAUGCCAUCCCCAUCAAGCUACCAAUGACUUUCUUCACAGAAUUGGAAAAAACUACUUUAAAGUUCAUAUGGAACCAAAAAAGAGCCCACAUUGCCAAGUCAGUCCUAAGCCAAAAGAACAAAGCUGGAGGCAUCACGCUACCUGACUUCAAACUAUACUACAAGGCUACAGUAACCAAAACAGCAUGGUACUGGUACCAAAACAGAGAUAUAGACCCUCAGAAAUAAUGCCACAUAUCUACAACUAUCUGAUCUUUGACAAACCUGACAAAAACAAGAAAUGGGGAAAGGAUUCCCUAUUUAGUAAAUGGUGCUGGGAAAACUGGCUAGCCAUAUGUAGAAAGCUGAAAAUGGAUCCCUUCCUUAC